CAUCUAGGCGGUCAAUCAAGUCGAAGGUGAAAACUUGUGGCUCAACCAUAAGCUUGCCUACGAAACUGAUCAACCAGAGUACUGGAGAGGUGGACGGAACUACACGAGUAGAGGUGAAAUUCGUAGAUAUGUGUAGGAAUGCCGAUGAUGAAGAUAGUUCACUGGACAGAAACUGACGCUGAAGUGACGAAGCUAGGGGAGCAAACA
rnacentral:rRNA from 1 species